rnacentral:rRNA from 1 species
GGAAACGGCGUCUAAUACCGGAUACGAGCUGCGAAGGCAUCUUCAGCAGCUGGAAAGAAUUUCGGUCAGGGAUGAGCUCGCGGCCUAUCAGCUUGUUGGUGAGGUAACGGCUCACCAAGGCGUCGACGGGUAGCCGGCCUGAGAGGGUGACCGGCCACACUGGGACUGAGACACGGCCCAGACUCCUACGGGAGGCAGCAGUGGGGAAUAUUGCACAAUGGGCGAAAGCCUGAUGCAGCAACGCCGCGUGAGGGACGACGGCCUUCGGGUUGUAAACCUCUUUUAGCAGGAAAGAAGCGAAAGUGACGGUACCUGCAGAAAAAGCGCCGGCUAACUACGUGCCAGCAGCCGCGGUAAUACGUAGGGCGCAAGCGUUAUCCGGAAUUAUUGGGCGUAAAGAGCUCGUAGGCGGUCUGUCGCGUCUGCUGUGAAAACCCGAGGCUCAACCUCGGGCCUGCAGUGGGUACGGGCAGACUAGAGUGCGGUAGGGGAGAUUGGAAUUCCUGGUGUAGCGGUGGAAUGCGCAGAUAUCAGGAGGAACACCGAUUGCGAAGGCAGAUCUCUGGGCCGUAACUGACGCUGAGGAGCGAAAGGGUGGGGAGCAAACAGGCUUAGAUACCCUGGUAGUCCACCCCGUAAACGUUGGGAACUAGUUGUGGGGUCCAUUCCACGGGUUCCGUGACGCAGCUAACGCAUUUAUAUUCCCCGCCUGGGGAGUACGGCCGCAAGGCGAAAACUCAAAAGGAAUUGACGGGGAACCGCACAACCGGCGGAGCAU